rnacentral:rRNA from 1 species
GGCCUACCAUGGUGGUAANGGGUAACGGGGUGUUAGGGCACGACACCGGAGAGGGAGCCUGAGAAACGGCUACCACAUCCAAGGAUGGCAGCAGGCGCGCAAAUUACCCAAUCCCGACACGGGGAGGUAGUGACAAUAAAUAACAAUACGGGGUUCUUUCGGAUUUCGUAAUUGGAAUGAGUACAAUUUAAAUCUCUUAACGAGGAACAAUUGGAGGGCAAGUCUGGUGCCAGCAGCCGCGGUAAUUCCAGCUCUAAUAGCGUAUAUUAAAAUUGCUGCAGUUAAAAAGCUCGUAGUUGAAUUUCGGGACCAAUAUGUCGGUCGAGCCUCGGUACGUACUGGCAUCGUUGGUUUCUCCCUUCUGAAGAACCAUGAUGUCAUUUAUUUGGUGUCGUGGGGAAUCAGGACUGUUACUUUGAAAAAAUUAGAGUGUUUAAAGCAGGCUCACGCUUGAAUACAUUAGCAUGGAAUAAUGAAAUAGGACGUUUGAUUCUAUUUUGUUGGUUUCUAGGAUCGACGUAAUGAUUAAUAGGGAUAGUUGGGGGCAUUAGUAUUCAAUUGUCAGAGGUGAAAUUCUUGGAUUUAUUGAAGACUAACUACUGCGAAAGCAUUUGCCAAGGAUGUUUACAUUAAUCAAGAACGAAAGUUAGGGGAUCGAAGACGAUCAGAUACCGUCGUAGUCUUAACCAUAAACUAUGCCGACUAGGGAUCGGAUGAUGUUAAUUUUUUAAUGACUCAUUCGGCGCCUUACGGGAAACCAAAGUGUUUGGGUUC